GACGAACGCUGGCGGCGUGCCUAAUACAUGCAAGUAGAACGCUGAAGGAGGAGCUUGCUUCUCUGGAUGAGUUGCGAACGGGUGAGUAACGCGUAGGUAACCUGCCUGGUAGCGGGGGAUAACUAUUGGAAACGAUAGCUAAUACCGCAUAACAGUAGAUGUUGCAUGACAUUUGCUUAAAAGGUGCAAUUGCAUCACUACCAGAUGGACCUGCGUUGUAUUAGCUAGUUGGUGGGGUAACGGCUCACCAAGGCGACGAUACAUAGCCGACCUGAGAGGGUGAUCGGCCACACUGGGACUGAGACACGGCCCAGACUCCUACGGGAGGCAGCAGUAGGGAAUCUUCGGCAAUGGACGGUCAGUCUGACCGAGCAACGCCGCGUGAGUGAAGAAGGUUUUCGGAUCGUAAAGCUCUGUUGUAAGAGAAGAACGAGUGUGAGAGUGGAAAGUUCACCCUGUGACG
rnacentral:rRNA from 1 species